CAAUAGCGUAUAUUAAAGUUGUUGCAGUUAAAAAGCUCGUAGUUGAAUUUUUGCUUGCCGCCGAUGUCGGAACUUCCGUACGUUCGGCGGCGUGCAUCCUUGGGUGGAACCUGUGUGGCAUUAGGUUGUCGUGCAGGGGAUGCUCAUCGUUUACUGUGAAAAAAUUAGAGUGUUCAAAGCAGGCUUACGCCGUUGAAUAUAUUAGCAUGGAAUAAUAAGAUAGGACCUUGGUACUAUUUUGUUGGUUUGCGCACCAAGGUAAUGAUUAACAGGGACAGUUGGGGGUAUUCGUAUUCCAUUGUCAGAGGUGAAAUUCUUGGAUUUCUGGAAGACGAACUACUGCGAAAGCAUUUACCAAGGAUGUUUUCAUUAA
rnacentral:rRNA from 1 species